rnacentral:tRNA from 1 species
UUAAUUGAAACCAAAAAGAGGUUAUUCAUUGUUAAUGAAAAAAUUGAAUUAUUUUCCAAUUAAA